GGGACUGUGGCUCAGUGGUAGAGUGCUUGGCUAGCGUGCAUGAAGCCCUGGGUUCGAUUCCUCAGUACUA
rnacentral:tRNA from 1 species